rfam:Culex pipiens quinquefasciatus supercont3.178 genomic scaffold, whole genome shotgun sequence.
GUGGCUGACUGGUUACGGUGUUCGCUUUCUAAGCGAAUGGUCCUGGGUUCGAUUCCCAUC